UUGCACUGGUUGCUGGCUUCUGUGGUGCAUUCUCUCUUCCCUGGUGUACCAGAAGCUUGAACACAGCCAUUGCUCCUGUGGACUGAGCAAAGACUUCUCAAGUUGGAGGAGAGCUGGGAGGCUUCAGAAGAGGCUGGGGAGGUGCUGGGGGUUGUUUUUGCUCUGGUGGUGCUGAGGUGGUGUUGAGCUUGAUGACGUCUCACCAGAGUGUUUUAAACCUUGUGCCCAGUCCUUCCUCCCACAAUGAAGUAACCUGGGGAGGUGGUGGUACAGAUCAGUCGUAUUGUCACCGGCUGCAACACGACAUGUAUUUUCUUACAAGCAAUAGCCGACUGAAUGAGCAAGUGGUUGAUAAAAUUAUUCUUCAGCUUAACAGAGUCUACCCCCAGAUUCUUAACAAUACAGAAGCGGAAAAGUUCAGGAAUCCAAAGGCAUCACUCCAUACCAGGCUCUCGGAUCUGAUAAAGCACCUUCAAAAGAAAGGAGAGAGACACUGUCAGGAGUUUUACAGGGCCCUACAGAUCAAUGCUGAACAGCUGUAUAAUGACCUGCCAAGCAGGAAAAUCUUGAAAACCACAGAUUCCGCAGAGAUAGACACUGACAAGGAGAAAUGUAUGCUAAAUGACAGGGGCCCGGUGUUUUUCCUCGCCUGUUUCAGUGCGGCGGCAGGAUUUGCCUUAUUUUGGUAUUGCUGUAACUCAGCAUUAGGAGCAGCACGGGCUGAGGAGCCCAGCAGCUCUGAAGUCUGCAAACAGCAUUCAGGAAGGAGGCGGGCAGGAGGACUGACAUCUCCAAGAGUGGAAGCGUGCAGCUCUCAGCAGUGCCCGCAGCGCUGUGCUCUGUGCCAUGCCUCCAGCAGGGCUUGCUGCAGCCCUGGGGGGACCAGCCCCUCACUGCUGUCCCACUACCUAGCCCAAAGUCUUUCUUCCUUGCUUUUACUCAUGAAUCGGCAUUUUGAUUCAAAGCAAAGCUGAACUGCCCUUGGUUAUCUUAGCCAUAGCGUCCAUGCUGCCAAGGUCACAGCGGGAUUGCUGGGCAGCCCUGAGCAAUGAGCAGGCAGGCUGAGUAGCUCAGGCAAGCUGGGCUGUCUGCAUCCCCAGAGCUGGGAGGCGAGGUGACAGCUCACACCGUCAAUGUGCACAGCUCCAUGUGCAGACAGCCUGCUAUUUAAAGUGCUUCGGUGCCGGCUGGCAUGCCUGCCAGCGAGGGCUCUAAUGAAGUGAUGAUUCACUGCAGGGCACACGGGGCUACUUGAUAGCUGCUGUCUGCAGCGUUCAAAGCUGCCUAGGCAAAGUUGCCUUCCUUAGUUUUCAUUUGUAUUUUUUUUCUUAUACUGUAAUAAUUUGAAAACAUUAAAGCAUUUGGUUAAAAACUGCAGCUACAGAUGCCUUGUACUGCUGGUCUGCAUACACAGACAUUAUCCAGAAAAAUGUCUUGCCUUAGCUGCGUGAUCAAGUGUUGUUGUUACACAAAGAAACAAAAACAGUUUGCUGCACUGCACAGGGCCUGUGUUUUGUAAUCAUUUAUCCUCACGUAUGUCUUCUUUAACUCUGUAAAAAUCAGUGGCUUUUUUUUUUUUUUUUAAUGGGGUGAAGCUGUUGAUGUAAACUGUAAUAAAGUCUGUACUGAGAGCAAAGCGCUGCUGUGUGUGGUGUGAUCUGCUUUGCCCCUCCCAGAAGGGCCCCCAGCACCUUGUCCUCGUGGCGGCCUUCUGCCCGCUGCUCCCUGCUCUCCAGUGGUUGAUUUGCUGUGGGGCACGUGGGACACCCUGGCUCGGUGUCAUUUUGACAGCCCCAUGGAUCAUGGCCCGUUGAGGCCGGUGUGGGGCCUACAGCAGGAGGUGGCUCAGCUGGGGUUACCUCGACCACCCCUAAAGGGACUGCAGGUGGCAAGAGCACACAGACAGACUUGUUAGCGGCCUGUUCUUUUGUGUGAGCUUCAAGAGGAGUCUUGCCAAGUGGUGAUGAACCAGAGGGUUGUGGUUGAACCAUUGCCCUCCUUUGGAGUGUCUCUGCCAGGUGUGCUGGACAGAGGCCUCCCCCGCCGGCCGACACGAAGCUCCUUGGGGCAGCAGGGUGCAGAGCUCUUCUCAUGGAUAUCACUACAGCCAGGACGCAUGUGAGAAACCAGCAUGGCUGCCUGCUAAAACCCUGAGGUCUGCUCCAACCUCAGCUGCUCUACACCUCGGGCUUUAUGGAGCAGAAGCACAGAGCGGGGCCCUGCCUUGCUGCAUGCACAGGAGAGCAUUUCAGGUGAGUCCCGAGCUGCCCUUUCUAUUUCAGAGCACAGGCCACAGUAGUCUGCGGCUGCAAGAAAAAGCUUUUCUACAUUUUGGUGCUGCUAAAUCUUUAAUACCAUCGUGCCCAGCAAAGCAGAAACCUCUGAGCCAGGCUGCUCCAUGCAGGCUGCUGGUGCGGGAGGCCGCUGUGAGCCACCGCUGCAGGGGCCCAAGCCCUGCACACCUCCUGCCUUGCAGCUGCUCCCAGCGUGCAGGGGCCUCCUGUCCCACUUAUUGCUGCUGCUGCUGCCCAUGCUGCCAGCAUUCAGUCCUGCUCCAGUCCUCUCCUGCUCCUGAGGAGGGAGGUAGGACCCAGAAAUGACAACAAGCAUGCUGCUGCUGUGCCUCUGGAAAAGGAAGGGCAUGGCAGCAGUGACACCAGGUGGAAGGUGCCAGCAUCUGGGCUGGAUGGCCACGGCCUUGUGCCACAGUGGUGCUCUCAGAGGCAGCAUGGGAUAGACUGCUGCUGGGCUUUCCCACGUGAUUUUUAUCAGGGUAGUUUUCACAAUUAUAGCACGGAUGUGAAAAUCAAGUCCUUUCCAAUGGCUUAAAUAAUUUUCUUCCUUGAUGCCAAACAGUUGGAGUAAUACUGGGUGGUAAUGGAACUGUUUUCCUCACAUAUUUUUGGUGCCAGGGCAAAUGGCUGGCAGCAUUUCAGGAGUUCUGGUGCAGCUCUGUGUAUCGUGGCUGCUGAUUUACAGCUCUUCUCCUAAAUAAUUCAGUCCUAUCCUGCCAAAAAAAGGGUUGGGGCCUCCUCUGAGCUGAAGGACUGGAGAACAGAGGGGAAGCACUGCUGGGGCAGCUGCAGGGGAAACCAGGAAGAGAUUUGCCUCUCCCAUGGGGCUGUGGCAGUGCCCUGGGACAGCAGCCAGGCACGGAAUGGUGCAUGCCAGCAAGUAAUGCAAGAAGAGGAGGAGUGCCACAACAACUGAUCUCUGCUUCAACAGUCUGCAGAGAGAGGAGAAAGUGAGUUCAGACUCAUUCCCUGCAUCCAGAUACAAGGAAGGACAUCUUUUUGCCAUUCCCUCACAGUACCCAGGAGAGAGGUUGGGCUAUAGAUGGUUGAGGAUUCUCUAGAAGAUCACAUUCCAUGUCUUCUACUGCUUGCCAUGAUGUAUGCUGGGUAACUUGUUGCUCACCUCCUGAUGCACGUGAUUACCAGGAGCCAUGAGAAAUAGGAUCAGGAGUGGGCUUCCCUUGGGGCACUGGGAUUGGCUCCCUCCUGCCCUGCUCGUUACGUAGCUCAGCUGUGGAGCUAGGCUCUCCCUUCUCACCUGGGGUUGUGAGGGGUAACUGAAUGUGGGGGAGGUGAUAUAUGGGCAACAGUGGGGUGAGGAAGGAUCUUUGGUUCCUGUUUAGGCCUAGGGGAUCUGGCAAGAAGUCUGGGUGAUGGCUGGAGGACUCUGAGCAGUAACAAGCACAAGCCUAUCAGGAUGCCUUGUUGCCAGGAAUACAAACGCGUGUAAGCCAUCAGCAACCUGUUGCCUAACGGAAGCAGCGCCCUCUGGCUUUUUGUUUCUUCUGCUGACUGCGUGUUUGAUGCUGUACGUCAUAAUAGUUUCCAGUGCAGCCAGGUUACUAGCACUGUUUUCACUUCAUUAGUUUUACAGCCCCGUGGGGAAGGAAUAACCACACUGACUGUUAAUGAAAAUGCAGACGGCUGAAAUGAGCAAAAUGGUUUCUCUAACUGCUGCAGCGCAGCAUACUCCCAACGCUUAGCAAGAACUGCAGCCCUGUUGCGAUGGCAGUGCUCAGCCCUCCUCCCACUGAAGGUUUUUUCGGAGCAAUAUGGAGUAGAAAUAGUAAGGAAUGAAGACUUAAGGUGCGAACUCAAGUAAGAACAAGAAUCUCUGCAAAAAAAUGCCAGGAUCAAGGAGCUAAGUUUGUGCUCCUUGUCACAAAAUGAGGCUCAACGAAUACACUUGGACUUUCAGUGCAACUUUUUUGUUGUGUCAGAGCAGUAUCAAAUACAGGACUCAGCAGGAGAGGAAAGCGGCAGACUUUUGGCCUGUCUCUCAUAUGGUCACGACAGCACUGAGAUGACUGUAAGCUGUCUGGAGCUGGAGCAGCCCCUAGGCUGCUAAGGAUGAAGGCCUUCUUGGGCAGCCAUGAGGACUCCAUGGCAGCGAGAGUGCAAAGCGCCAGGAGCGCCUCGCUCUGUUGAAUGGGCUGGCGUUGGAGCUGGAGGUUCUGCCCUAUUUUGAGUAGUUUAUUUUAGGAGAACCAAAUGUUGCCAGCAUUUGGGGGAAGGUAUGUUAUUGGUAGCAUUGUAUACACAGCUCAAAUCCCAGUGAUGGAUUUAGAGCAGAGAAUUAGUAGUAUGUAUAAUAGACAAUUGUGAAUUUAUGAAGCUAAGGUUUACGAAGAAAUUCCUUUAAGCUUGUCAGAAUGAAAGAGGGCAGAUACUUACACACUAAAGGAAGCAGAGAAUGAACGUGAGCUUAGAGUAGACCAUGAUUUUUCUGGCUGUUGUAUUACAUUGGCUUUGAUAAGGAGCACAGGGAGCGCUCGUGGGCUGAGGGCUGGUUUCCAUUUUCUUGUUUUACGUGUGGCACAAGAUAGAUAACAUGUGAAGAUCCUGUGCAGAGCAAGCAGAUAAUGGAGGAAAUGUGGGCUUCAACCAGAGGGAGAAACUGACCUUAUAAUUCUGUGAGCUAUCUGCACCAUAUUUAGCCUUUAAUUUUCCCAUACGUGCACUUGCAUACUGUUCCUUGUUAAGUAUAGGUUUGAAGGUUAGUUUUGCACACUUGUGUGCUUUGUAUCCUGGCAAAGAUGGUGUGGUAGUAUCACAGGUUGGGGUUGAAAACAGGAUAUGCCAGUGCUUCCCUGUACUGAUGUGUUCUGUGCCACAGAGCAAACGGCUACUGGCAUGACACAGCACCAAAUGGAAAAGGAGAGAGACGUGGUUUUGAUUGACUUCGUAAAGAGUAUGGGAAAUAAUGAUGAAAGAGGACUACUAAGCUUGCAAUGGGAAAUCUGUAAUCAGCAAUGGCAUGGUUUAUAUCCUUCUGUAUUUCAAACCAUAUUGUUGUCUGAUCUAAUCUAAAGCCUAAAGGCUUCUUGCUGGGUGGAGAUUGCAUGGGGAGAUAGAAUCUAGAUGAGACACCUGUCAUCUUAAUAUCAAAGCACUUGAGUCCAGUGUGGAAGUGGCAGGUGUGGUGUGUGUCUUAGGAGAAGAAAGACAUUUUCUUUUUGUUGGACUCUGUGAGUAAAAUGAUUCAAAAUGUCCCAUACCACUGGGCUGCAGAGAGCCAAUUAAGUUUCAAAAACACAGUGAUGUGUAAUUAAUCAACUAAGCAUGACAAAUCCAAUAUCUCACCGAUAUAUUUUUGCCCACCAUUUCCUAUUGUCUUCAUCCCAGAAAGAAAAGGCAUGAAAUAACUGCAAAUGCUGCUCUCCAACAGCAUUCUCUGAAGUAAACACAAAUCAAAUGUAAGUUAGAGCAUUCCAAACAGUAACAAGAAAAGUCACUGGGACUCCUAACUGUGCAGGUGAAGUGGAAUUCUUGUGCAGCACAUUGCCAUGGGUAAAAUGCUUAGGCUACAAACCUCUCUGGUCAGCCUUUAGCUUCAAGGCAAAAAUAAAUGCAUUUAGGAGCAGUCAUCUUGGGGUUGGCUUUUGUGAAUGGCUGGAAAGAGAAGUGUGAUGAUAGAUAGGUGAAAUAUAUGACCGAUAAGGGUAAGUGGCAAAUAGCAGCGCAGAAGCCUGGUGAGGGCUGAAGCUACUGAAGUAUGGGGAAAGGCAGUUAUCUAUAAAUAAAGUGCCUAAAAUGUGGAAGCUGAUAAGGAGAGGACAGCAUGAAAAAUAAGCUCUGUAAACCAAAUGAAAAUAUAUGGCUUAAGCUUUGGUUGUAUUCAGUGCAGUUAUCUCUGUGAAAGUUAUCUGAAUGUUUUCCUUGCCUAGCAAGAAGCAAACACAUCCGUUUUAUCCCAGAAUUAACAGAAUCAAGAAAACCACGGAGUCGGCAAGAGUCCUUCCGCAGCCCAUUCUCCUGGGAGAGAAAGGGAGAGGGUGAGACACCCCUGACAUUCAUGAAGGAAUCCAAGAUAUGCCUGCUGUGUGCCAACUCUAAAUCUGUCCCUUGUGAGAACGUUACUGGAUUGGUAACAUUCAGCACCAAGGAAUCUGUGCUCAGAAAGCUGCUGGCUCACAAACAGCGGAGAUUUCAGGGGUCAGAGUGAAAGGCACAGCCUCUCUCGCCUCCACUAGCCCCUGGUGCAAAGGCAGGACACUUGUGCAAAGUUAUGUGUGCUUCACACAUGUCCUAACUGGAGAAAAAAUGCUUGUGUCUUGAUUAGUUGGGGGCACAGAUUCCCUUUCUCCUGUACGUGCUUGAAUUCUGAAAGCAGUUGGAGUGGGUACACGUAUCUCCUCACAGAGCAUGUGCUGGAUGUUUUCUAGGCAAUUUUGACUCCUCUGCAAUGAGUUCUCAUGAAUGAGGCUGAUUGGAGUGGCUGCUAAUGAGGGCAUGUUAGUGUAUGGAGUACAUUCCCUCUGUCUCUGGAGCACCAAUGACAUUGAGACCACGUGGCUAGCAGUGACCCGAAGGAGGUUUCCCUCUGUCCAGCCCUUCAUGAGGUCAGCUCCCAUCCCUGCCUGGGCUCCCAAGGGGAGGUGGCUGUGCUGAGCCAUCACCUCACGCUGGGCAUUACCUGUGGCACCCAGCAGACUGCACAGCACCGUGAGCUUUGGGCACAUUUGUUUAACAGAAUGGGCUGCUUUUUCUGUUGAAAUGAAGAAACUGAGAGGUAUUCUGUGACAACACAAGAAGAUAGAAAAGAGAAAGUGUAGCAUUCUUUAAAGCAUCUAUAAUUCAGUCUCUUUGCCUUCUGCUGAGGGAUAUAUUAAAGCAAAUGCUGCAUUUUGAAAACACUGACAGGGAACUGUCAGCUGCACAAGCCAUGCUUCUGCUUAACUUUUUGGUUUUGCUUCACGACUAUGUUUCUACGGUAUAUAAGUGAGAAAGGGGUAUGAAAGGAACUCAGAUAUUACUCCUGUGUGCUGCUCAGGGGAGCGUUUCCUAGAGAUCUGCCUCCUGGUUUUGCCAGCUUGGAGGUUUCUUAUAGCUAUUAAUUGAGAUUAAAACCAAGCAGAGAGCAAAUUGCACAGCUCUCUGACAGCUCUUCCCAUAAAAACGACUGCUACAAAAAGACGGGUUUGACAAGGAGCUGUCCUGAAUCACCUUGCCUUCGUGUUCCACUGAGACCACACAUUAAUGAGUCCCAAGCACUUAGAGCAGGUUGAUUUCCCUUUGGGAUCACCUUUGCACAUCCUACGGAGCUCAGUGCCCCAUGUCCUCGAGUGUUCUGGGGCCAGGGAUGCCAGGACGUCCUCCAGGAGCCCCACAGCCCCUGUGAAGUGCUGAGGAUCGGCUGUAGCAGGGCGUGAGGCACGCUGCCCUGUGCUGUAGGCUGCACGCUUCCUCCUUUUGAUCCCUGAGCAUCCCUCUCUGCUCCCAGCCCUAUCACAGGGAGGAUCAGUACACCUACUUCUCUUCCUGCCGUGUUUCUGGUUGCCAGGGAGACAGCAGUCUGUCUGGGCUUUACGAAGCAGGCCUUUGAGCCUGACUCCUCCAAGAGCAGCCAGGAGUGGGAUGCUUUUUCUCUCAGGCACGAGGUAAUCCCCCAGAACCAGCCCUGUACCUGUGCUGCACACUGCCAGUUCUGUCAGCACUCACAAAGCCCCGUCACGGAAAGGGCAGUGGCCUGGGACAGCGCGCGAUCCCUGCAGUGCAGGACCCACUUGCUACCAGCGUGGUCUGGGCACCCAGCAAUCCAGAGGUUUGCCUCAAUGCUCAGUGACCUGGCACAACAUUUUCUCUUAUGCCUUCCUUGCAAAAGAGCUGAAGGAAAGCAUGUAAGGACAUGGUGUCACACAAUAGAACAAGUGCUGCCUGUGUUUGCUGUGUCACAGGGUGAAUACAGAGUGACUGUGGAUGUGUGGGAUUUGGGUCAUCCAUGGCCACGUUCUCUGUUGUUUCAUGGGCAUGAGGAAACUGCAUUCUAGGAAAUUCUGCCACUCCCCUCUUCCUUUCCUUCACUGCUUCCCCAAGCACAUAAAAACCUGAUUUAAUAAAA